UACGUAGGGGGCAAGCGUUGUCCGGAUUUAUUGGGUUUAAAGGGUGCGUAGGCGGGCUAUUAAGUCAGUGGUGAAAUCCAGCAGCUUAACUGUUGAUGUGCCAUUGAUACUGGUAGCCUUGAGUACAGAUGAGGUAGGCGGAAUUGACAGUGUAGCGGUGAAAUGCAUAGAUAUUGUCAAGAACUCCGAUAGCGAAGGUAGCUUACUGGGCUGUAACUGACGCUGAUGCACGAAAGUGUGGGGAUCAAACAGG
rnacentral:rRNA from 1 species